ACUCCUACGGGAGGCAGCAGUGGGGAAUAUUGGACAAUGGGCGCAAGCCUGAUCCAGCAAUGCCGCGUGUGUGAAGAAGGCCUGCGGGUUGUAAAGCACUUUCAGUGGGGAAGAACAGGUUCGGGUCAAUACCCCGGAGCCCUGACGUUACCCACAGAAGAAGCACCGGCUAACUCCGUGCCAGCAGCCGCGGUAAUACGGAGGGUGCAAGCGUUAAUCGGAAUCACUGGGCGUAAAGCGCACGUAGGCGGCACGUUAAGUCAGAUGUGAAACCCCUGGGCUCAACCUGGGAAUGGCAUUUGAUACUAGCGCGCUCGAGUCUGAUAGAGGGGGGUGGAAUUCCAGGUGUAGCGGUGAAAUGCGUAGAUAUCUGGAGGAACACCGGUGGCGAAGGCGGCCCCCUGGAUCAUGACUGACGCUGAGGUGCGAAAGCNGUGGGUAGCAAACCAGGAUUAGAUACCCUGGUAGUC
rnacentral:rRNA from 1 species